CAAUACAACUUCAGUGCAAGCU
rnacentral:miRNA from 1 species